GCGCUCGCAGGCGGUCUUUUAAGUCUGAUGUGAAAGCCCACGGCUUAACCGUGGAGGGUCAUUGGAAACUGGAGGACUUGAGUACAGAAGAGGAGAGUGGAAUUCCACGUGUAGCGGUGAAAUGCGUAGAGAUGUGGAGGAACACCAGUGGCGAAGGCGACUCUCUGGUCUGUAACUGACGCUGAGGAGCGAAAGCGUGGGUAGCGAACAGGAUUAGAUACCCUGGUAGUCCACGCCGUAAACGAUGAGUGCUAGGUGUUAGGGGGUUUCCGCCCCUUAGUGCUGAAGUUAACGCAUUAAGCACUCCGCCUGGGGAGUACGGCCGCAAGGCUGAAACUCAAAAGAAUUGACGGGGGCCCGCACAAGCGGUGGAGCAUGUGGUUUAAUUCGAAGCAACGCGAAGAACCUUACCAGGUCUUGACAUCCUCUGAUACCUCUAGAGAUAGAGUUUUCCCUUCGGGGACAGAGUGACAGGUGGUGCAUGGUUGUCGUCAGCUCGUGUCGUGAGAUGUUGGGUUAAGUCCCGCAACGAGCGCAACCCUUGAUCUUAGUUGCCAGCAUUCAGUUGGGCACUCUAAGGUGACUGCCGGUGACAAACCGGAGGAAGGUGGGGAUGACGUCAAAUCAUCAUGCCCCUUAUGACCUGGGCUACACACGUGCUACAAUGGAUGGAACAAAGGGAAGCGAACCCGUGAGGUCAAGCCAAUCCCAUAAAACCAUUCUCAGUUCGGAUUGUAGGCUGCAACUCGCCUACAUGAA
rnacentral:rRNA from 1 species